rnacentral:rRNA from 1 species
AGCGAACGUUUGCGGCGGGCUUAACACAUGCAAGUCGAACGGGCUGUUCCUUCGGGGGCAGUCAGUGGCGCACGGGUGCGUAACACGUAGGUAAUCAACCCUCUGGUUGGGGAUAACACUUCGAAAGGAGUGCUAAUACCCGGUAUGGCGCAGCGGUCUUCGGAUCGCGGCGAGAAAGACCCGCAAGGGUUGCCAGAGGACGAGCCUGCGGCCCAUCAGCUAGUUGGCGAGGUAACGGCUCACCAAGGCGAAGACGGGUAGCUGGUCUGAGAGGAUGAUCAGCCACACUGGAACUGAGACACGGUCCAGACUCCUACGGGAGGCAGCAGUGGGGAAUAUUGCGCAAUGGGCGAAAGCCUGACGCAGCCACGCCGCGUGAGCGAUGAAGGCCUUCGGUCGUAAGAC